GCAUAUCAAUAAGCGGAGGAAAAGAAACUAACAAGGAUUCCCUUAGUAACGGCGAGUGAAGAGGGAAGAGCUCAAAUUUUAAAUCUACUACGUUAUACGUAGUCGAAUUGUAAUUUGAAGAAGCGUUUUCUCGUUCUGCGAUCGGUAAAAGUUCUCUUGGAACAGGACAUCAUAGAGGGUGAUAAUCCCGUCUUUAUUGAUCGUUCGUUCGUCAUAUGAUACGCUUUCAAAGAGUCGAGUUGUUUGGGAUUGCAGCUCUAAAUGGGUGGUAAACAUCACCUAAGGCUAAAUAUUUGCGAGAGACCGAUAGCGAACAAGUACCGUGAGGGAAAGAUGAAAAGAACUUUGAAAAGAGAGUUAAAACAGUAUGUGAAAUUGUUGAAAGGGAAACGAUUGAAGUCAGUCGUGCAGUCAUCAACUCAACUUUAAUACUUAUAUUAUUGUGUAUUUUGGUGUCUGCUGGUCAGCAUCAAUUUUGAUUGUCAUAAAAAGGUUGGGGGGAUGUAGCUCCUUCGGGAGUGUUAUAACCCUUAGCGCAAUGUGGCGAUUGGGAUUGAGGUUUGCAACGAAUACCUUUAGGGCAGUUCUACCUUGAUCUCUUAUUGGCGUUCAGAUAGCGACAGCUUGCUGACGUUGUUUGGAUUUGUUAAUGAAUAGGUUAGAGUAGAAUGAAUUCGUUAAGGAUGUUGACGUA
rnacentral:rRNA from 1 species